rnacentral:rRNA from 1 species
UACGUAGGGUGCAAGCGUUGUCCGGAAUUAUUGGGCGUAAAGAGCUCGUAGGCGGUCUGUUACGUCGGCUGUGAAAACCCGCGGCUUAACCGUGGGCUUGCAGCCGAUACGGGCAGGCUAGAGUUCGGUAGGGGAGACUGGAAUUCCUGGUGUAGCGGUGAAAUGCGCAGAUAUCAGGAGGAACACCGGUGGCGAAGGCGGGUCUCUGGGCAGUAACUGACGCUGAGGAGCGAAAGCGUGGGGAGCGAACAGG